rnacentral:rRNA from 1 species
GACGAACGCUGGCGGCGUGCCUAACACAUGCAAGUCGAGCGGAACCAUCCAAAAGGUCCCUUCGGGGUGAAUUUGGGGAAGCUUAGCGGCGGACGGGUGAGUAACGCGUGAGUAACCUGCCUGUAAGAGGGGGAUAACACAGAGAAAUUUGUGCUAAUACCGCAUACGACCUGAGGGUGAAAGUGGGGGACCGCAAGGCCUCAUGCUAUAGGAGCGGCCGAUGUCUGAUUAGCUAGUUGGUGAGGUAAAGGCUCACCAAGGCGACGAUCAGUAGCUGGUCUGAGAGGACGAUCAGCCACACUGGGACUGAGACACGGCCCAG